ACCAUCCACUCUCUAAUGUCCUUUACACAUUCUACAAUCUUAAUAAGCUGGUGUCUCUAUUAUGACUUGGCUGAAACAUAUAGCUGUGUGUCAUCGGCAUAACAGUGGAAGAUAAUAGCAUGUUUACGAACAUUUGCUCCAAGUGUCACAUCACCUACUAGGGCUGGUCAUGAGAGGGAGCCCUUGCCAGAAUUCUAAUCCACUUCCGUUUCCGCUCAGACAUAAAAGGACAAUGCACACCUGGUAUGACGCGAGGUAUUGUCUCUGGUGGACUUACUAAGCAUUGUACUCUCUCAUUGUGGAUUACUUUUGUGGAUUACCCGGACCAUUUCUCGUUACGAGCCUCUGAUAUUGCUCAUUCCUGUUAUUCUGACCCUGGACUGUUUUCUCCUGUGCGACUUUGCCUUUUCCCCUUUGGAUUAUCUGCCCGUUUGUCUGGUUUCCCGGUUUCGACUUUUCUGCCUGUCUUCUACUACGCCUUUAGCUUACCCCCUUCUUCUCUGCUCAUGGAUCCGGCCGCUUCCACUUCUGGCGGACAACCGCAACACCAAGGGGUAGCAUAUAUAAGGAGAAAAGCAGAACCUUUUGGAACACCGAACAUAACCUUGGUAUGCAUAGAGAAGUCACCAUCUAGAUCUACAAACUGAUAACGGUCAGUUAAAUAAGACCUGAGCCAAGAGAGGGCUGUUCCAGUAACACCAGUAUGGAGACACAACCCUGAUCAGAAGCCAGUAACAGGUCAUUGACCACUUUAACCAGUGCUGUCUCUGUGCUAUGAUCAGGUCUAAAUCCUGACUGACAUUUCAUGGAUGUUAUUCCUAUGGUUGAAAGUGACUUCACUGUAGGUCCAACCAAUCAGAGCUCUGAAUCCAGUCGGGGUUUGGAGAGAACAAAUGGAUUUCUGGGUGAAGAGAGACUCGGGGCUGGUCUGCAGGUACUCGCUUGUGGUCAGAAAAUGAUCAAUCCCGCGUGGCGUUAACACGAAAGAGAAUAUCGGCUUCACCGGGCGCUUGUUGAAGAGAACGGAACUGGCAAAGGCUUCGUUCUGGGCCAGAGGUUUCCUUCCAGUCUUCUCCAGUGUCCAUGUGUCACUGUCGUUCAGCAGGCGGAAGAUACCCGGAGGCCGCACCUUGAUCUUUCCCUAAGAUCAUUUCUGAUUGUGAUUCUGAUUAACUGAUUGUUUUAUUCAACCACCGACUACUUGUCUUAAGUUAAACAAUGGAGAGAACGGGGAGAACAUGCAAACUCCAUGCAAAAAGGCCCCCCAUCUGUUCGAACCCAGAAUUCCAAGACCCAACCCAAGACCUUCUUGCUGUGAGGCAACAGUGCCAACCACUAAGCCACCAUGCUGCCCUAACAUUCUUUCAAUGAACUUUAAUUUUGUAAGUUACCUGUAUUCUUUUGAGUUAUUAUUACUUAAUCAAAACAACACAAAUGAAAUAUAAUAGAUUUGAAUAAAGUACAAUAGAAGAUAAGAAGUACUAGUUUAGACAAGCAAGUAAAUGGAUCCCGUGAACAAAGUUUGGGUUUUAUUAACCAGAACAUUCAGUAAAAUGCUUCAAAUUUAUAUGAGCUCCUCCUGUUCGUCCUUAAAAACUGUGUAGAUUUUAAAGUCAGGGUGUUUGCAGGUGGUAACAGGUACACAGCUUUUAAUAUAAACCAAGCAGAUAAGUUAAAAGACAAAAAAGAAGUUACUAAGAAAAAACAGCCAGUGGUCAACAGAUUAUCAGAGGCAGAGGCACAAACACAGAUGAAUGAGGAACACCAUCAGGGCCAACACUAUGAAUAAGAGGCUUGUAAACAUCAGACAAUGAUAUGACCUGAGCAUUUACAGUCAGCAAUGUAUGACCAGCAGUCUAUGGAUGUUAGUUUAAUGUUAGACUCGAUAUGAUCAUAACUCACCGGUUUUCAUAUCAGAGGACAGAUGAGGUGGAGAGUUAGGACACAUGGAGAGAUGGGAUUGAAUGGAUAGAUGGAGGACAAUGAAAAAUGUUCUUAAUAUUAAAGUUAAUUUUUUUUUGUUUUUGAGAUUGUGUGAGAAUCUUGCAUCCUGUGUACCGAAUAAGUAGUGUAUCUAUUGUGUUAUCAAUUUCCCCAUCCUUUUGGAUUACAGAAGUAAGGAUUACAGAUGGUUAUUCCUACCCUGCUAUAAUACAGUGUAGGAUCUCCUUUAGGUUUUUGUGCUGCACAGAAAAUUAGCACCAGGAAUGUAAAUAUUUAAAUUUGUUCAUUAACUAAGGGUGGUUGUUUAUGCAUGAGAGACAAUUAUUAAGUAAUGAUCAACAUUUUAAUAUAAGUACAAAUUAAUGUUGCUGCUAUCUAUCUGCAACUAAUAUUACAAAAUAGUGAUUCAACACACAGUUGUUGCUUUUUCUAUUCUACACCUGCGGUUUGAUGGAUGUGUCUCUGUGUCUCUCAUACGUCCUGUGCAACAAGUCAUUUAUUUUACAUUUUCAGGUACAGCGGUCAGUUUAAAAUAAAAGUUUGUUUAACAGUGGAAAUUUAGUCUCACAUUAUUUAAAUUUUACAAAACAUUAAUGGUCAACAUUUUGACUUAUAAAAUAUUUCUCUCAAGUCUUGGGGAUUGGCCCCUAUUAAACAACAAAGAACGUAAGACAUGUUUUUAUAUACAUAGUUUAGUAGACUACUAUUCAUUUUGGCAGUAUUAAUAAUUAUUUUCUGGAUGUUGUAUCAUCAUAGUCCCUAAAUGUAUAUAAAUGCAGGAAAUGGGAUUCAAAUCGAAAAUUUUUUCCCCCAUCAGGCCUCUUCUUGUUUAUGAGGUAUCUGUCACCACCGUUGAGAGAUCGGAGAGGAAGACUAUUUAAGGAAGUGGCUGGGUAUCCCAAGAAGCUUCUACUCCAUUGGCCUGUACAGCACAGACAGCAAGUUGCAGCUGCCAGUGACAUCAGUGCUUAAGGAGUAUAAAGCAACAAAGACACUGCAAGCAAGAUGAUGCUGUGAGACAGCAAGGACGAAAGAGUGCACCAGGCAGGCAUUGUGGUCAGGACAGGACGUAAAUGGUCUGCCAGCAGAGCAUCAACGGAGGCUGAGGAUCGACUCCAGCAUGCAGAUAUUGUUGGGACAGUAGCUCAGGGCAGGCUUGGAUUAGGUUGCUUCACCAGAACGAGCUGGAAAAAAGCUGACCCAAAGGAACGCCGCAGCAUGGUACAGAUGGAGGUCCGCAAGGCAGAGGAGGAAACCUGGCAUGCCAAGGCUGUUGCGAUGAAAAACAGCUGGACAAGGUGGGAGGGUGUACGAGAAAGGGCCCUGAUGUGGCAGGACAUUUGGGACCAUGGAAGGAAAGUUUCUGAUGUGUUCUGUUUACGAUGUUCUGCCUACUCCAUCAAACCUCCAUAUUUGGGGGAUGGUAGAGAGCCCCAGCUGUACAUUGUGGAAAACAAGCCAACCUUGAGCAGGUCCUCUCAGCAUGCCAGUCAAGUUUGGCAGAUGGGAAAUUCUGGUGGCGGCAUGACAAGAUCCUGACCAAGUUGGCAGAGAGUGUGGAACAGGCAAGAAGGAAUGUUAAACAACCAUUUUAUCCAGUUUGUCAGGACAGGAGAAAGCACAGCAGCAGGAUGGAGGAGUGGAGGGGUUCUGGCCUCAGCAAAAGACUGGAAAAUGCAUGCAGACCAGAGGAAGCUGCUAAAAUUCCCAGAGGAGAUAGCACACUAGCCUCAGACCAGAUAUUGUCCUGUGGUCUAGAGGCACCAAGCAGGUAGUGCUCAUGGAGUUAACAGUACCCUGGGAAGAAAGGAUGGAGGAAGCUCAUGAGCGCAAGCUUAAGAAAUAUCCAGGCCUUAUGGAGAGCCAGCAAAAUGGAUGGAAGGCCUGGAAUUUACCAGUAGAGGUCGGCUGCAGAGGGUUUGUUGGGCAGUCACUCUGGAGAACCCUUGGGCUGCUGCGGAUUGGGGGGAUGGCCAAGAAACAGCUGGUAGACAAGGUCACUGAACAGGCAGAAAAAGCAUCUCAGUGGAUCUGGAUACAGCGGGAGGUGCGGUAGAGUUAGAUGUUGGUCAGCAGGGGGUAGAUCCAGGAUGCUGGAUCUGCUGUUGAGCCACCCAGAGGUGUCAUGGGCUUAAAUGGAUGAAAUACCAAGGACGGGGGGUGCCCAUAUGAUGGCCCAUGCUGUAAAUACCAACCCUUGUACAGUUGAGAGAAGUAGCGAAAUCUUGAUUUGGUGCUUGAAAGGAGGAGAGAAGGAGAAGAGAAGUGAUGCCACUGUUGGUGCAGGUCCGAGUACCUGUAAAGGUUGGCUAGUAUUUUGCAUAUAUAUAUAUAUAUAUAUAUAUGUACAUAUAUAUAUAUAAAACCUUAUGUGAACAAACUGUUAUAUUUAAUCACUAAAACUUUUUUUGCAGUAAAAUAAAUCUAAGGAAGAACUAUUUACAGAAAAAUCAGAACAUUUUUAUUGUCA